AAAAAUUAUAAUAAGUGUUAAGGAUAAAAUAUUUAAUCAUGUAAAUGUUAACACCUAUUAUUUAUCAUUAUUUUGCUAGCAUUAGGCUAAGUUAAUUGGUACUUAGAUCGCACUUUUGUGCUCUCAUCACACCCCCCAACUAGCUUAUUGCUAGUCUCUAGCAAUUAACGAGCAGAUAAUAAAAUGAGAGUGCAAAAGGUGUUGGUUGAUCCUUUGAUGUUUUAUUUGAACUAAUUGCAUAAAAUUAAGAUAAGCACUCACUUUCGUAGGAAUCACGAUUGCACUUAGCAUGUGCAACAAGCCGUUAAACCCCUAGGUUACCCUAGUGGACGAGUGUUGUCUCGUGAGGGUUUUCAGGGAUGUUACCCACAAAUAUCAUGAAUUAUAUGACAUGAGAUUCUAAAAAAUAUGAAAUAAAUC
rnacentral:lncRNA from 1 species